ensembl:lncRNA
UCUGGCUGUGCAGUGUUGGACUGAGUCCCCUCGCCGAUGAGGUCACAGGUCUCUGUCUCUCCCUGGUGCAGGGCCAAGAAGAGAAGAAUGAGAACUCAGGGCUUGUUCCUUUUCACCCUCGAUCCUCUUCCAUGCUGGGGCUUCAGGAAUUUCAGAAUCCAGUGGAAAAGACAGGUAAAUGACAACUUGCUGGACGUUUUUUUUCCUUCCUGGUUCCCUGAAACUUCAUUUGCCAUUCAUCUGUUCUACGGCACACAGCCGGUCUUUUUGGCUUCAAACACCCAUAACCCUGCCCUCAGGUGCCUUGAUUAUUAAUCCAGUGGCUUCCUCUUCCCUGCCCAGGUUAACCCAAGUCCCUUUCUUCACAGUGGAAGAGUCAGCCCUGCCUCGACGGGCAGAGGUGCAUAGUGUGAGCACACCAAAUUUGCUAGAGGCACCAGCGGGGGCUGCCCACACAAUCCCAUCCUACCGAGGGCACAGGAAUACUCUAUCUCAUUGGAACAAAGUCAAAGCUUUGAUCAACAGGAUCCGAUGGAAGAGCCCUCAUGCCUCUGAAUCUUCUGUUGCUCAAGAUCCCCCCUUCCCCCAGGAGAGAUUCAGAGGAACUCCCAGAAGGUCCCCUGCAUUACCCUCAACGGAGGGCCUUUAUGCCAAGUUUGGUGGCAAAGAAGCAUCGAGCCAAGAACUUCUCAGUCUGUUGAACCGUCCUACAUGCCAAAGUCCUUUCUUCUCCGUGCCUGGCACAUCAUGGGUAGGGCAGCAUCCCUUCAAUGCAACAGCCUUUACCUGGGCUUACGCUGUUCCUUGCCAUGACUAGUAGCUUGGAGUGGGCUCCGUGAUGUGAGAGCUGGAUCUCUCCCCUUCAAGAUCUCUGGAAUGUGGAGCUUUUGGAUACCUCAGGGAGCCAUAAUUCAUUCCGUCAAUCCUCCACUGAUCAAAACCCUUCUAUAACUUGAUAUACCCUCUUCCUUGAGUUGCUGCAGUUGAAAAAUUCCAUUGCCCUGUGACCAAGGUGUUGAUGAGUUUCUUUGACCUUGGACGACAGACACACAGUCCAUCACUAGGCCUGUCCUUGAAGCCUUUCUAGCUUGCUAAGACUGACCAGAUCUUGGGCUCCACUUCCAGUCUUCAAGAGUCAAGGGUCAAGGCUCAAGGUCAUGAUGAAGGGCUGGAGGAGGACUGCAGUAGAGGUGGGGUUCUUUGGACUGAAGUGUCUCCUGCCAAAGUGCUUUCUGUCCUAGCUCUUGCCCAUUGUCAGAAAUCCUUAGGAUUGUAUGAUGUGAACUAACUUAUUUGUUGUGCCUUUGUGUGAAGCAUGUGUGGUGCUGUGACCCCACAGGCCCUGUGCAUCCUGUUGUAGAUGUAUAUUAUGUGUUUAUAAUAUAUACAGGCGUCAGUGUGAGCUGGCUGUUGUAUCAGCCCCUGCCUUCCCAUGGGGGCUGAUUAGACUUUUGAUCUUUGAGGUGGGAGAAGAAAGGGAGCAUUCCUUCACUGUUCUGGAGAGAUCAUACCUCAAUUCAGCUCACCAUACAUGUAUUAAGUGCUCACUCUGUGGAACCUUGGAUCCUUGACCUGUCCUGUUCAGGUGGUGAUCUUCACGCAGCACAGCAUCUCCAGGUUGGGAGGACCCUUCAAGUCAGGGCAUCACAGCUUUCUUUGGAUCUCAUGUUAGUUGAAGAUACUUCCAAGAGGCUCACUUCAGAAUGGGGAGGAAACGUGGAUAGAAAGGCACAGCAGAGGCAGUGUGGUACAGUUGGAAUUGGAGGUUGAGUACUUGGGUUCAUUUAUUACCAUUUUGAUCAUGGACAAAUCACAUGGACAAGACCCUCUCUGGGUAUCAUUUUACUUAUCUUUAACAUGAGGGGGAUUGAACUAGGUUUCACAGAACAAAUCCCUUUAAUAAAAGGAUUUGUUCUGUGAAGUUUGGAUUCA